rnacentral:rRNA from 2 species
AUUGACCUCGGAUCAGGUAGGGAUACCCGCUGAACUUAAGCAUAUCAAUAAGCGGAGGAAAAGAAACCAACAGGGAUUGCCUCAGUAACGGCGAGUGAAGCGGCAACAGCUCAAAUUUGAAAUCUGGCUCCUUCGGGGUCCGAGUUGUAAUUUGUAGAGAGUGUUUCGGGUGAGGCCGCGGUCUAAGUCCAUUGGAACAUGGCGUCAUAGAGGGUGAGAAUCCCGUAUGUGACCGUGGAUCGAGCCCAUGUGAAGCCUCUUCGACGAGUCGAGUUGUUUGGGAAUGCAGCUCAAAAUGGGUGGUAAAUUUCAUCUAAAGCUAAAUACUGGCUGGAGACCGAUAGCGCACAAGUAGAGUGAUCGAAAGAUGAAAAGCACUUUGGAAAGAGAGUGAAACAGUACGUGAAAUUGUUGAAA